GUGAAAGUGAUGAAAACUGAAGUCAUUUGUUUAGUUCUAGCACAGGUAUGGUACAACUCCAAGAACGUACCUCACUUCUGAGUUGGAAGGACUACCUGUAGGGAUGAAACACCCCCUCAGGACCUGGAUCCGCUCAGCCCUUGACUUCC
rnacentral:sRNA from 1 species